rnacentral:rRNA from 1 species
UACGUAGGGGGCAAGCGUUGUCCGGAUUUAUUGGGCGUAAAGCGCACGCAGGCGGUCUGACAAGUCCUAAGUGACAGUCAUCGGCUUAACUGAUGAAGGCCUUGGGAAACUGUCAGACUUGAGAGCAAUAGAGGGACACGGAAUUCCGGGUGGAGUGGUGAAAUGCGUAGAUAUCCGGAGGAACACCAAAGGCGAAGGCAGUGUCCUGGAUUGAAUCUGACGCUCAGGUGCGAAAGCUAGGGGAG